UAUAUACUCCCUUCGUUCGAAAAUACUUAUCAUUAAAAUGGAUAAAAAGAGAUGUAUCUAAAACUAAAAUACGUCUAGAUACAUUCCCUUUUAUCCAUCUUGAUGACAAGUAUUUCCGGACAGAAGGAGUAUAUG
rfam:Triticum aestivum genome assembly, contig: Triticum_aestivum_CS42_TGACv1_scaffold_222408_3B